GCCAGGGUGGCAUAGUGGUUUGAGUAUUGCACUACAACUCUGGAGACCGGGGUUCGAUUCCCAGCUUGGCCA
rnacentral:tRNA from 1 species